rnacentral:rRNA from 1 species
UACGAAGGGGGCUAGCGUUGUUCGGAAUUACUGGGCGUAAAGCGCGCGCAGGCGGUCUUCCAAGUCAGUGGUGAAAGCCCGGAGCUCAACUCCGGAACUGCCAUUGAAACUGUAAGACUUGAGGAUGAGAGAGGUGAGUGGAAUUCCCAGUGUAGCGGUGAAAUGCGUAGAUAUUGGGAGGAACACCAGUGGCGAAGGCGGCUCACUGGACCGGUUCUGACGCUGAGGCGCGAAAGCGUGGGGAGCAAACGGG